UCUAAAGUAGCUGUUGAUAAAGAUUUAAAGUCCUGUUUAUAUACAGAAAUAUGCUUUAGUUCAUGUUUUUUUACAUGUCUGCCUCAGUGGAUCAGUAGAAGAUCUGGCACAGGAAACUAGAUGAUGAAAAAAGGAGGAAACACCUGGGCCUCAUCAGUGCAGCCAGCAUUUAAGCCAGGGAGUGGCUUCUUCUCAUCGCUGGAUCGUUGUGUGUGACUCGCAUCCCCUGGACCCGACUCUGCAUUCCCCGAGCGGAUUCCCUUUUUGUGUGAGUGUUUGGAGAGAGAGUCAGAAGAGGAGCAAGUGUCUUUCCCCUACCUGGAUUUCCCCGGAGCCUUUUCCCUGUCACCGCUUUGUAUAUAGCACUAUCCC